GAAUGAUAGUGGCUGAAGAUCUACUUGACUAGCCUGAGAGGAGGUGCAUGGCCGUCGUCAGUUCGUACUGUGAAGCAUCCUGUUAAGUCAGGCAACGAGCGAGACCCACGCCCACAGUUGCCAGCGUACUCUCUGGAGUGACGGGUACACUGUGGGGACCGCCGCUGCUAAAGCGGAGGAAGGAAUGGGCAACGGUAGGUCAGUAUGCCCCGAAUAUCCCGGGCUACACGCGAGCUACAAUGGUUGGUACAAUGGGUAUCUACCCCGAAAGGGGACGGGAAUCUCCUAAAACCAAUCUUAGUUCGGAUUGAGGGCUGCAACUCGCCCUCAUGAAGCUGGAAUCCGUAGUAAUCGCGUUUCAACAGAACGCGGUGAAUACGUCCCUGCUCCUU
rnacentral:rRNA from 1 species